rnacentral:rRNA from 1 species
GACGUAGGGCGCGAGCGUUGUCCGGAUUUAUUGGGCGUAAAGAGCGUGUAGGCGGCCAGGUAGGUCUGGUGUGAAAACUCGAGGCUUAACCUCGAGAUGUCAUCGGAAACCAUCUGGCUAGAGUCCGGAAGAGGAGAGUGGAAUUCCUGGUGUAGCGGUGAAAUGCGCAGAUAUCAGGAAGAACACCAAUGGCGAAAGCAGCUCUCUGGGACGGUACUGACGCUGAGACGCGAAAGCGUGGGGAGCGAACAGG